rnacentral:rRNA from 1 species
UAAGGAAUAUUGGUCAAUGGACGCAAGUCUGAACCAGCCAUGCCGCGUGGAGGAUGAAGGCCCUCUGGGUUGUAAACUUCUUUUAUCUGGGAAGAAACCCAUCUUUUCUAAGGUGGUUGACGGUACCAGUUGAAUAAGCACCGGCUAACUCCGUGCCAGCAGCCGCGGUAAUACGGAGGGUGCAAGCGUUAUCCGGAUUCACUGGGUUUAAAGGGUGCGUAGGUGGGCAGGUAAGUCAGUGGUGAAAUCUCCGGGCUUAACCCGGAAACUGCCGUUGAUACUAUCUGUCUUGAAUAUAGUGGAGGUGAGCGGAAUAUGUCAUGUAGCGGUGAAAUGCUUAGAUAUGACAUAGAACACCCAUUGCGAAGGCAGCUCGCUACACUAUCAUUGACACUGAGGCACGAAAGCGUGGGGAUCAAACA